AGCUUGCAACUGAGACUGAUGUGACUGAUUGACUUGUACAAGGGCAUGUUGUUGGAGUUCUAAAUCUUGUUCCAGAUCCAUCACAUGGGAUUGUAAACGGUCCAAUUCUCUUUGAUCCUCCAACUGGGAAACAUUCAUGUGAUUCACCACAUCUUCUAACACUGAAAGUUUGGCCUGCAGCAGGAUGCUGUUGCCAUCAUUGCCAUCACUAUUUAGUUCUUGUGGUUGCAGCUCUGCUUCUG